UUGCGUAAAUUUGCUAUGUUUGCAAGCACUUAACUCUGCGAGCAGUUGAUUAAAGCUAACACCUCACCUCACCGUUCGAGAUUAUUUGAUCAAAAUUUGUCAUCAGUGAUGAAAGUGUCAGUGGCAAACAAACUUCAACAUGACAUUAAUAAACUUGUAUCCCAGAAAAGAUGUCAAGCAUCAGGGCAAAGAAGAAAAUGCGGUAUCAUCCCGGGUAUCAUUAUCAUAGUAAUUUGUAAUUAUGUACCAAAUAGUUCUCCAAAUUUAGCUAAGGGAGAGGUGUAGAAACCAUUGAAGACUACAUUUGCACUCAGAUUUAAAGGAUGUAGAGUCAACUACAAAGAGCGUUCAUGCAUUGAAGAAGAAUUUGUGGGCUUUGAAAAUCCAUUUCCAUACAAAACUAAGAGAGAAUGUCUCAGAGAUUUUCGUGGUUAUGGCAGCAUUUGUGAAUAUCGUAAACCAUGCAGAAAUAACGGCACUUGUUCACCAAUUACUACCGCCAAUCAUGUUCCAACAUUCAAAUGUGAGUGUACUGCCAUGGGUUACUAUGGUGACAGGUGUGAAAAUAAAUGUCCAAAAGAUUUGUCAGCUAAGGAGCCUAAAAUGUUGGCCUGUUUACAGAUAUGAGAUCUUCCUUAACUACACAAGUACCUUACAGAAGCAGGCUACUCACUUGUGUUUUGAUAUGCCUGCUGUACCAAGGCUCACAUAGACUGGAUAUUUAUAUAGCCUAAUAUUAUGUUACUGACAAUUAUCUAAGUAUUGCAUGUCCUGUACAAGCCUCAAUGACUAAGAUAAUUAAAGAUAUUCAUGAUUAUAAGAUAAGUAGAAUGCAAUGAAAAUCAAAGAUGCCGGUAUUAAAACAUGAAAAAGUAGGCAACUGUAUAGCUUACUUUUCUACUAUCUAUAAUGUUUGUAGAUUCUAAAAGUUAGAAAGUGUCUUUUUUUAAUGACACAUUGCCUGUCAAUUCUGUUUAGUUUAAUCUUUUUUUUUUUUUAAUAUAGUGCCUAUCACCCUAAGUGAUGGUCAAGCUCAACAGAUAUUAUUAUAAGCAGCUUUUUUCUGGGUAUUAUUCAACCACAGCUGUGAGGGAUAUCUGAAAUCCAUUGCUUACUUGUCUAGCAGAAAGAUUUCCAUCCAUUUAGUGAUAAAAGAUUAAGUAUACACAACUUUUAGUAGUCACCACAAAACACAUUUUGAUGCUCAAGACAACACUGUUCAUGAAUGGUUUAGUUUUCUUUAUACUGAGAGUGUCCAAGAAAGAUAAGGUCAAAGGUUAAUUGGAGUUUUUUUAUGCUGUGACAGUGUUAAAUUUCCCUUGUGUUUUUGUAUGACUUGAAUACAUUAACCAUAUUUUUUUGUUUUACAAAUGUAGGACGAACAUGUUAAUAAACUUUGUCUUUGAAUUAGAAAUUGUAAAACACUUAGAGAAAAAACUUGCAAUGUUGUUGUUUUUUAAUUUAAAUUUACCAGGUACCUGCUAUUCAUUUACUUUGACUGUUGACUUUAAGUUAGAAAUUAAACAAAGAUUUCUUUGAGGUAUAUUUGUUAAUGACAAUAGACAUUACAGAGAGUUGACACAGCUAACUGUACUUUUCAACAAAGAAAUUAAGAGCUUUGGAUGGAAUUCUGUGGUUGAAUAACAAAGUAAAGUUAAUCAAUCACAGGAGUCCAUCAAAAAUAUAAAAUGCUAAAAAAAAUAUAAAAGAUUAAAUUACAUUUUUGAGAUUACAUAUUCUUUAUGUAGAAUCUUUUUUGAACAAAGUUUACCAGUAUAGGUAUUUAGACCUAGGAACAAAUGAUAACUGGAUAUAUUUUUUUAUUUCAAACCACUGGCAUGUAUUUAACUUGUUAUAAUACUUUUUAAUAUCUGCAAUAUCAACUGUAGUUUUCUUGGAAGAGUUCUAUAUGAAAAUGUCACUUCUGAACACUGCUGAAUUACUAGAUUUUAUUCAAUUAUGUUUUGUAAAUGAAAUAUUGUACAAUGGCAUAUUUGUAUGUAUUAUAAAAUUAAGGUUUUUACAGCUAUAUAUUAAAAACAUCUUAAAUUUAAUGUAGUUUCUGCACUGAAUAAUUUUUUAAACUUUUGGAUAAUUUAUACUCAUUUUGUUAUGUUUGUAUAUUUGUAGAAUAUGAAUAUCAUAGUAAAGGCAUUUAUUUACUUACAUAGUAGUUUUUUAUUAGUCAUUGACAGACUUCAGUGGAGAUUCUUUGUACAUUGAACCUUGUUGGUAGUGUCAAUGUUAUUAAGUUUACAUCAAGUAUUUAAGUAUAGUUCUGGGUGUUCACUACAUUGUUCCUGGCAGAGUUUUAUACCAUGUAAACUGAUAGAUCAGCAUGCUGAUUAGCUUUUAAAAUUUGGUUUUGACAGAACAAAUAUCUGUUAUAAGAGAUUUAGGGUAUACAACUCUAGCAAUAAUAUCUUUGACAAUAAAAUAUUCUGUUUAAGUUUAUAUUUUUGGAACAGAAUAUGCAAAUGUGUUAAAUAUACAUUAAAUAUACAACUGGUAUUAGUUUUAUCCCUUUGUAUCUUUCUACAGUACCAUUGUCAUUAUAUUUUUGUUAAAUUCUAGGUAGUAUAACUUCUAAUUUAAUUGUCUCCCUUUCAAAAUCAAAUGUCUAAAUGAAGUUUUUUUGAUUCUACACAAUCUUUUACUACUAAAGUAAUAUCAGGACCACCAAUAAACAUUUAUUUAAGCAGCAGUUUCAGUUUUAUUGUGACAUUCUAAAAAGUUAAUUGUUAACUUUAAAUAAGCUGUGCCUCUUAUACAUUGAUUUUAUUGACUCAUUUUUAUAUAUUUUUAUAUCUUGUAAAAAGAGGUCUUAAUUAUACAAUAUUAGAAUCAUUUUGCUUUUUUUUUUUUUAAAUUGUAAGUAGUCUGUGCUAAAUAUUUUUUUUUUUCAAAUUACUUUUGUAUUGCCUAUAUGGGGAAAUAAUAUUUCUGACAUUUCUUUGCUCUGCAAAAACAAAUCAGGAUUUGAACUCAAGCCCCCUUGACACUGGUUUAUCCCAGAUAUCCUGCAUUUCAUGCAGUUUGUAGGCCAAAUUUGAAACUCACAGUGCCCCAGUGCAGGUAGGAAAAGGAAACCAUGUCGCAUUAAUAUUUGCUGUUCAACAGAGCUAGGAAGCACUUCAGCUGGGUCUCAGUCCAAUGCAUUAGCUAGAGGAUUUGAGUUUCUUAGGCUGACACUCAAAUGAAGUCUGAUAUAAUUUUUUUUUUUUUUAAAGUUGUACGGAUGUCUUUAAGCUAUAUAACUUACCCAAGUCCAAUGUGUUGAUGACAUAUAUUUACCAGUUACUGGUACUAAACAAAAUGGCUGCUUGAUAUGAUGAAUCAAGUAUAUUGUAGGGCUAUGCGACUGCAGCUUCACAAAGAAAAACAAUCUUAACUUUGUUCUU